AAAUAAACUUCAAAAGAUAAACUUUCUAGUUUAGGAAAUCUUUCAUUUUCGCUUCUCUCAAUUUUCGAAAGAGUAAUAGUUGGGGACGAAGUUGAUUGGUUGACAAACACGUGACGUUGAACUCUGAGCCUAUAAGUAAAGCGUUACUUCCUCGGUUCCUGAAUCAGAAGAUAUUACAAAUAAAGGUAAGUAAGACGAAGAAAAGAGCUCUGCUUAAACUUUUCUUUACUUUUUAUUGUUGUUUCGUUUUAUCACUCUUUUAUUUUCCUUUUCUUUAAAUAUUUAUAGCUUGAAUGUUUUAUAUCGGAGAGACAGACAACAAUUCAGCGAAGCCCUUUUCAAAAUGUCUCCAAACAAAGAGACUUAUAAAUAUUUUGUUAAAUCAAGAGAGUAAAUUAAAAUAGUUUACAGCAAUGAAUACAUAUACAUAUUGUAUAUGCUGUAUAGAUAUAUAGAUAUAGGUUCAUACGUAUUUAACUAGAUGCUUAGUUUCUUAAUUAAACAAAGUUGUGCAUAUGUUUUAAAUUCAAUGUGUAUAUUCAUAUAAGACUUGAUAGAAGACUAAAGAAAAUUUACGAUACAUCAGUAUAUGUUAUAUAUAGAGGUGUAUGCUUUUAAAACAUAUACACCUCUUGGAAGAGAGGAAGAAAAAAGUAUUGCUACUUUGUAGCUAGAAACGGUUAUGCUCCUUUAUUCUAUAAAUAUUUCCUGCACUUAAUUUUUCUUUACCCUAACAAUAUUGCCCCCUUUUAUCAGAGGCACCUCUUAAUGAAAAAGUCAAUAAGUUAGUAUAGGAGAAAUAGCAGGUCGCAGAACAGAUAUAAGGUAUAAGUCCUGCCUAAGCUGAUGCACCUUUGUUUGACAAGCGCCUUUGGCAGACUAGUACUUGAUGACGUAACGUAAUCUUCUCGUAUUCUUAAUCCAGAUAUGGCAUACGUUAUUCGCUCGCUUUUCCUCAUCGUACUCUUAGUCAACGGUCUUUUCGUCAAUGCCGAAAACACUCAAUCAAAGAUGGUGGACGGUUUUUCACCAAAGACGGCACUGCAACUGGCUGCUAUAGGAAGAAGAUUACUAAGAAUAGCUGCUGAAAUGAGAGGCGACGUUGAUGCCAAGAAGAGGAAUUCUGGUAUGCUCGAUGCUCUAAUAAAUAUUCCCGACUUUUUCAAUUCUGGCCGUCGUUAAAUAACGAAAAAGAAAAAUGAAAAGUUUUUGAAAAAGAACUUUAUCUGAUCUCCAACUUUGAAUGAGACUAUUUAAUGUCAAUGAAAUAAAAUUUAUCAGAUCGAAAUACAUACAGAAUCUUAUCCAAGUUUUUCCCAAAUAUUUAAACAAUCAGUUCAAUAGAUAACUAAUAAACUGAAGAAAACUGAA
rnacentral:misc_RNA from 1 species